AUGUUUGGCGCCAAACUAGGGCACGUCCUGGAGAUGGUUGCGUGCGCCGAAGGUAUAGGUGUGCCCCGUAGCUCUGGAAUGUUCGGGCACGCCCUGCAUGCCGUCUCAUGCUUUAGCGAGGAGAAGAUCACUGCUAAAGUGGACUAUUUGAAGAAGACGUUUAGGUGGUCGGAUGCCGAGGUUGGCAUUGCUGUGUCCAAGGGUCCGUUUAUGCUGGCGAGGUCAAAGGACAUGCUGAAGCGCAGGUCCGACUUCCUUAUCUCUGAGGUUGGGUUGGAACCGGCCUACAUUGCUCAUCGGCCGGCUAUGCUCACCUACAGCCUGGAGGGCCGGCUCAGGCCCCGCUACUAUGUUGUGAAAUUUCUCAAGGAAAAUGGAUUGCUAGAGCACGGGCGGAGCUACUAUACAACACUGGUUGAGACUGAGAAGGUUUUCAUGAAAAAGUUCAUCUGCCCCCACAAGGAAGCCGCACCACACCUCGCUGAAGACUAUGUGGCUGCUUGCAAAGGGGAAGUGCCGGCUAGAUUCAGAUUUACGUGA
rnacentral:rRNA from 1 species